rnacentral:rRNA from 1 species
UACGAAGGGGGCUAGCGUUGCUCGGAAUCACUGGGCGUAAAGGGUGUGUAGGCGGGCAUUUAAGUCAGCGGUGAAAUCUCCGGGCUCAACCUGGAAACUGCCAUUGAUACUAUUUGUCUUGAAUUUUGUUGAGGUUGGCGGAAUAUGUCAUGUAGCGGUAGAAAUGACUAGAUAUGACAUAGAACUCCGAUUGCGAAGGCAGCUAACUAAGCAAAUAUUGACGCUGAGGCACGAAAGCGUGGGGAUCAAACAGG